rnacentral:rRNA from 1 species
AACUCCCAACCAUUGUGAAUCUACCUCACCGUGUGCUUCGGCGGGUGGCCCGGGGCAACCCCCGGGCCGCGCCGGCUCCACUGGGCCGGCAACCCGUCAGAGGACCGAAACUCUUAGUCAUCAUUGGCCUCUCUGAGUAACUUAUACAAUAAGUCAAAACUUUCAACAACGGAUCUCUUGGUUCUGGCAUCGAUGAAGAACGCAGCGAAAUGCGAUACGUAAUGUGAAUUGCAGAUUUCAGUGAAUCAUCGAAUCUUUGAACGCACAUUGCGCCCGCCAGUAUUCUGGCGGGCAUGCCUGUUCGAGCGUCAUUUCAACCAUCAAGCGCCUGCGCUUGUGUUGGAGCCCUGCGGCUGCCGCAGGCUCCCAAACCCAGUGGCGGGCUCGUCGUCGUACCGAGUGCAGUAAACUUACCACGCUCAGGGAACGCGACGGGUGACCGGCCGUAAAACCCCCAAACUUAUCAAGGUUGACCUCGGAUCAGGUAGGAAUACCCGCUGAACUUAAGCAUAUCAAUAAGCGGAGGAA